rnacentral:misc_RNA from 1 species
GAUGAAGAACGUAGCGAAAUGCGAUAAGUAAUGCGAAUUGCAGAAUUCCAGUGAGUCAUCGAAUCUUUGAACGCACAUUGCGCCCAUUGGUAUUCCGGGGGGCAUGCCUGUCCGAGCGUCAUUACAACCCUCAAGCUCAGCUUGGUGUUGGGCCCCGCCGCCCCGGCGGGCCCUAAAGUCAGUGGCGGUGCCGUCCGGCUCCGAGCGUAGUAAUUCUUCUCGCUCUGGAGGUCCGGUCGUGUGCUCGCCAGCAACCCCCAAUUUUUUUCAGGUUGACCUCGGAUCAGGUAGGGAUACCCGCUGAACUUAAGCAUAUCAAUAAGCGGAGGA